rnacentral:rRNA from 1 species
GUUGUAUGGUUAAGUGACUAAGCGUACACGGUGGAUGCCUUGGCAGUCAGAGGCGAUGAAAGACGUAGUAACUUGCGAUAAGCCCAGAUUAGGUAGUAACAACCAUUUGAGUCUGGGAUUUCUGAAUGGGGAAACCCACUUACAUAAGUAAGUAUCCUUACCUGAAUACAUAGGGUAAGGAGGCGAACCGGGGGAACUGAAACAUCUAAGUACCCCGAGGAAAAGAAAUCAACCGAGAUUCCGAAAGUAGCGGCGAGCGAAAUUGGACUAGCCCUUAAGCUUUACACGCGUUAGACGAACGGUCUGGAAAGUCCGACGAUACAGGGUGAUAGUCCCGUAGUUGACGACGUGUGUUCAGUGAAAUCGAGUAGGGCGGGACACGUGAUAUCCUGUCUGAAUAUGGGGGGACCAUCCUCCAAGGCUAAAUACUACUGACUGACCGAUAGUGAACCAGUACCGUGAGGGAAAGGCGAAAAGAACCCCUGUGAGGGGAGUGAAAUAGAACCUGAAACCGUGUACGUACAAGCAGUAGGAGCAGGCUUGUCCUGUGACUGCGUACCUUUUGUAUAAUGGGUCAGCGACUUAUAUUCAGUGGCAAGGUUAACCAUCUAGGGGAGCCGUAGGGAAACCGAGUCUUAACUGGGCGUU